GACGGCUUGUUAUUGGAAAACAAAAGUAGGACAAUUACACACGAAGUGCUUGUUACUCUCAUGGCUGAAGUUAUGGCCAUCAUAAACAAUAGACCGUUACUACCAGUUUCGACUGAUCCAGAGUGUCCCAGUAUUUUGAGUCCGUCGUCACUUCUUACGAUGAAAACUUCACCAGACGUGAAACCGUUUCCUUUAUUCGGUCCAAAGGAUAUGUUGAAAGCUCAAUGGAAAUGCGCACAAGGAUUAGCAGAAGAGUUUUGGCGUAGAUGGAAAUCCGAAUAUCUUCAUGAACUUCAGAUUCGUACAAAGUGGCAAACUGACCGUCGUAAUCUACAAGUUGGUGACUUAAUUCUCAUGAAAGAUCAGGAUGCGCCACGUAAUUCAUGGCCCGUAGGACUUGUGGACAGGGUAUUUCCAAGCUCGGAUGGCAAAAUUCGUAAAGUGGAAGUCGCCAUAGUCAAAGACGGAAAGCGCACAACUUAUUCCAGACCAAUUACCGAAUUGGUUACUCUCCUUGAAGCUGACUGACUAUAAUAGUGACAUUGUGUUUUAUUCAAUUACAUUUAAUACACGAACAAUUAGUAUAACAUUGUUAGGGAAACACAUGUUAAUUUGUCAUAUGACAUUAUCUUUUAAUUUUGAAAAUGUAGUGAUUUCAUAAAGAAAUCAGAGGAGGAGUGUACUGUUUUGACUAAGUGCCGAAUUGACCAUGUCGUCCCUUUCUUAUCAUUUCAUUCCCCAGUCUCAUCAAUCCCUCGAUUAUUGUCAAAACUGAAACACGUUGUUUUUCUACUUGGAAGUUUUAUCCACCACUAGAUUUUUCACCCUCUCCGGGGGUCUGUAUACCAAUAAACUGUUGAUCUCUCAA